rnacentral:rRNA from 1 species
AGCAGCCGCGGUAAUUCCAGCUCCAAUAGCGUAUAUUAAAGUUGUUGCAGUUAAAAAGCUCGUAGUUGAAUUUCGGGGUUAGCAGGUCGGUCGUGCCAUUGGUAUGAACUGGUCUCGCUGAUCCCUCCCUCUUGACGAACUGUGAUGCCAUUAAUUUGGUGUCGCAGGGAAUCAGGACUGUUACUUUGAAAAAAUUAGAGUGUUUAAAGUAGGCUCACGCUUGAAUACAUUAGCAUGGAAUAAUGAAAUAGGACGUUUGAUCCUAUUUUGUUGGCUUCUAGGAUUGACGUAAUGAUUAAUAGGGAUAGUUGGGGGCAUUAGUAUUCAAUUGUCAGAGGUGAAAUUCUUGGAUUUAUUGAAGACUAACUACUGCGAAAGCAUUUGCCAAGGAUGUUUCAUUAAUCAAGAACGAAAGUUAGGGGAUCGAAGACGAUCAGAUACCGUCGUAGU